rnacentral:ncRNA from 2 species
AGCUAUCGCUAGGGGUGUGUGAUGCUGAGAGUUACCCUAUAGCCUCGGGCUUAUGGUAACAACCCUCUGAACCUGACCUGGAUCAUACCAGCGUAGGGAAGCGGCCUUCAGUAUCG